AGAGUUUGAUCAUGGCUCAGGACGAACGCUGGCGGCGUGCUUAACACAUGCAAGUCGAGCGAAGUUAUGGAGUAGUUUACUAUGAAAUAACUUAGCGGCGGACGGGUGAGUAACACGUGGGCAACCUGCCCUGUACAGGGGGAUAGCCAACCGAAAGGUUGAUUAAUACCGCAUAAUCCAGAGGAAUCGCAUGAUAUAUCUGGCAAAGGAGGAAUCCGGUACAGGAGGGGCCCGCGGCCCAUUAGCUAGUUGGUGGGGUAACGGCCCACCAAGGCGACGAUGGGUAGCCGAUCUGAGAGGAUGACCGGCCACAUUGGAACUGAGACACGGUCCAGACUCCUACGGGAGGCAGCAGUGGGGAAUAUUGCGCAAUGGGGGGAACCCUGACGCAGCAACGCCGCGUGGAGGAAGAAGGCCUUCGGGUCGUAAACUCCUGUCAUUUGGGACGAAGGAUGACGGUACCAAAUGAGGAAGCCACGGCUAACUACGUGCCAGCAGCCGCGGUAAUACGUAGGUGGCGAGCGUUGUCCGGAAUUACUGGGCGUAAAGGGUGCGUAGGCGGUUAUAAAAGUCAGAUGUGAAAUUCCGGGGCUCAACUUCGGAAUUGCAUUUGAAACUUUAUAGCUAGAGUGCAGGAGAGGGAAGCGGAAUUCCUAGUGUAGCGGUGAAAUGCGUAGAUAUUAGGAAGAACACCAGUGGCGAAGGCGGCUUUCUGGACUGUAACUGACGCUGAGGCACGAGAGCGUGGGGAGCAAACAGGAUUAGAUACCCUGGUAGUCCACGCUGUAAACGAUGAGUGCUAGGUGUAGGAGGUAUCGACACCUUCUGUGCCGCAGUAAACGCAAUAAGCACUCCGCCUGGGGAGUACGGUCGCAAGACUAAAACUUAAAUGAAUUGACGG
rnacentral:rRNA from 1 species